rnacentral:rRNA from 1 species
AUUGAACGCUGGCGGCAGGCCUAACACAUGCAAGUCGAGCGGAUGAAGGGAGCUUGCUCCUGGAUUCAGCGGCGGACGGGUGAGUAAUGCCUAGGAAUCUGCCUGGUAGUGGGGGAUAGCGUCCGGAAACGGGCGCUAAUACCGCAUACGUCCUGAGGGAGAAAGUGGGGGAUCUUCGGACCUCACGCUAUCAGAUGAGCCUAGGUCGGAUUAGCUAGUUGGUGGGGUAAAGGCCUACCAAGGCGACGAUCCGUAACUGGUCUGAGAGGAUGAUCAGUCAAACUGGAACUGAGACACGGUCCAGACUCCUACGGGAGGCAGCAGUGGGGAAUAUUGGACAAUGGGCGAAAGCCUGAUCCAGCCAUGCCGCGUGUGUGAAGAAGGUCUUCGGAUUGUAAAGCACUUUAAGUUGGGAGGAAGGGCAGUAAGUUAAUACCUUGCUGUUUUGACGUUACCAACAGAAUAAGCACCGGCUAACUUCGUG